GUGUACAGGUAGCUGUGCUUGCCUGCUAGAACCUCCAAACAAGCCCUCAAGGUCCAUUUGUAGAAGAAUGAGGGUAGUCAAGCUUCCAAGACUCCAGAUACAACCAAAUGAGGCAUUGCAUGUGGCAGUCUGGCUUUCUUU
rnacentral:snRNA from 1 species